ACCCGGAGAGGUCGUUCAAUACUGCGUGUCUAGAGGGUGUCAGAGGGGAGUGGAAUUUCCGGAGUAGCGGUAAAAUGCGCAGAGAUCGGAAAGAACACCAAUGGCGAAGGCAGCUCCCUGGGGCAACCCUGACGCUAAGAGACGAAAGCUAGGGGAGCGAACAGGAUUAGAGACCCUGGUAGUCCUAGCCCUAAACGAUGGAUGCUGGAUGUGGGGCCAUAGCGCUCCGUGUCGAAGCGAACGCGUUAAGCAUCCCGCCUGGGGACUACGGCCGCAAGGUUAAAACUCAAACGAAUUGACGGGACCCCGCACAAGCAGCGGAGCGUGUGGUUUAAUUCGAUGCUACACGAAGAACCUUACCUGGGUUUGACAUCUAGGUGGUAGUGAAGCGAAAGCGGAGCGACCCUUCGGGGAGCCUAGACAGGUGCUGCAUGGCUGUCGUCAGCUCGUGCCGUGAGGUGUCGGGUUAAGUCCCGUAACGAGCGCAACCCUUGCCCUCCGUUAUACGUGUCAGAGGGGACUGCCGGCGGUAAGCCGGAGGAAGGUGGGGAUGACGUCAAGUCAGCAUGGCCUUUAUAUCCAGGGCUACACACACGCUACAAUGGCCAGUACAAAGGGCAGCGAAGCCGCGAGGUGGAGCGAAUCCCAGCAAAGCUGGUCGUAGUUCGGAUUGCAGGCUGCAACCCGCCUGCAUGAAGCUGGAGUUGCUAGUAACCGCGCGUCAGCCAUAGUGCGGUGAAUACGUUCCCGGGGUUUGUACACACCGCCCGUCACGUCAUGGGAGUCGAUAACGCCUGAAGCCGGUGGCCUAGCUCGGAAGAGAGGGCGCUGUCUAAGGCGGG
rnacentral:rRNA from 1 species